rnacentral:lncRNA from 1 species
CGAGGAGGAAGGCAGCGACAGGAACGGUGUAGAUGUGGUGGCCGGGCUUGGGGAGGAUGCGAACGUCGAAGAAGGCUGCGUCCUUGUUAGUCCUCGACGGCACGGCGGAUGACGGAAACGGCGGCGACGGAGGUCGAUGGUGACGAGGUUUUGUUGGCGCAGACCGGCUGUUCCCUUGGCUUACGGUGGUCUGGCUGGACGUGGUGACGCGGCUUUCGGGGUCGAGGGCGUCACUGGACAGCGACGAGCGGAGCCCCGGGCGCGGCGUCGGCAUGGGUUCGGGGACGGCGCGGCCAACGGCGUCAAAAGAUCACGAAACCUUGUCACAAAGGUAGGAGAUGGUUACGUGAGUGCACCGGUGAAAGGAAUCGACGAACCGAGCUUUGGAGCGACCUCACCUUCGAGAACGAAAGCGACGAACGACGGAGGAAGAAGGCCACGGCAUGCGAUCUACGAAGCUCUAUAGGAAAAACUCUCCAUAGGAAAACGGGGGAGGAUGGCCAAAGGUUCGAAGUGACGCGCUCGGAAUCGUCCUUUAUAGGCCGAGGAGGGAGAUCGGGCAUGGAUGUCGACGGCCGACAUUCGGGGCACCUAUUUUGGAAACUGCGAUAAUUAGAGGAAACUUCAAAUUGAUUUCCUGAAUGGAUUCCCGGGAUGGUGAGGAUUGAUGGGGUGGUUUCCUUUUGGAGAGAGACGUGCGGAAAGGAAAGAAAUUGAAGAAAGAAAAUAUGGAAAGAAAGGAUUUCUUACGUGCAGAGGAGGAGGAAGCACGAGCUCGUGCUCCUGGCUGGCUGGGGCGUUCGGUGGAGAUGGGCCGGCCCAGUUGGGUCGGUCCAUUCUUUUUUUUUUCUUUUUUUUUUCCAUUUCUUUUUUUUUAUUAAUAACUUUUGAUUCCUAACUCCAAAUAAGUCCAAAUAAAUUCCAGAAAAUUUAUAAAUUCAAAUUCUCCAAAGUGUGAGCUUUUGGGACUUGAAUCCUUUCAAAAAUAAAAUAAGUAAAAAUACUUUUGCUUAUAUAAAUGUCAUUAGAGCUUUAUAAGUAAUACGUAAAAUAGGUUUUGAAAUCUAUUAUGAAACCUUUGUUUCAUAAAUUAGUUUAAACUCCAAUAAACAUAUUGGGUUGGCAUAUUUUGCACUAAAAUCCUUCUUUAGCUAAAUACCCCAUUGGGUUGAACUCGAAAGAAGAUCUCAUAAUAAUUAUACGGUUCAAUAAAAUUCCCUAAUAGCUUAUAACACCAAAUCUCAAAUCAUUUAAACCAUCGCAGAUGUUUCCAACUAUAUAUAUAUUUGGGAAGUCACGUUAUCCCACUCUCAACGACGGAAUAAAUGUUGGAAUAACAUUUGCACAUGAGAAUGUCACGUUAUCCUCUUCUCGAAUAUUUGAUAGUUUCUUCUCGAAAACAAAAUGAACACGCCAAAGCAAAUAUCGAGAGAAACAUAGGUGAAUCAUUAUAUAUGUUUUCCAAUCAUAUACUUGGGAAAGUCACAUUAUUCCCUCUCUUUAUCAUUUAGAUAAAUGUUGGAGAACAUUCCUAAUUCGAUUUAAAUAUUCCAAUGAUGCUCUCAAAUGGUCAUGGCAUCCAAAUUGGAAUCUUAGUGUGUUAAUAAAUCCUUCAGAAAGAAAAUAGGAUUUACUAGAUGCGAAUAAUAGUUCGGCUAGAAUCAUAAUAUGCAAAUGAUUCCAAAUAGAAUACUUUGUACUUAUGUAAAUGUCCCAAC